AACGCAUUUACUGUUUAAUUUUUGGAAAUUUUUUCUUCAUAUUUCCACCAGUCAAAAAUGUUUUAUAAAAAUGGAAAUUUCAUACUACAAAAUUAACGUGUUUUUCGUUUUUGCAAAUAAUUAUAAUGUUUGAACAUAUUUUCAAAAAUCAACGUUUUUUUGGUUUUUUAGUUGAAAUUCAUCGGUCAAUAAAAAAUUAUUAUGUCGUUAUUAUUUUCUCUGUAAUGUCUAUUGGCGCUUUUGUCCUGACCUCAGUGAGUUAACCGAACCCUGAACACUAUUGGUUGUUUUACGGAAACGAGAACGAAAAUAUGGUAUAAAAUAUAAAAUACAUAUUUUUACGCGAGCAUUAACUUAAUCGGGAGUAUUGUGGUUUUUUUUUUUUUUUUUUUUUUUUUGUUAAAUUUGUGUGGAGGGAUGGGGAGGGCGUGGAUUGAGAAGGUCGAGUUCAAUCGUGGUAAGGGACGCUAAUUUUAUUUAUUUUUUUUUUCAUUCAAUUCUCGUCAUAACAAUAUUACAGUAGUCGCUCUUCUUUCAUUUAUCAUUUUUUUUUUUUUUUUUUUUUUUGCUUUCCAAUUUCCGAGCACCGGCACCGCGGUAAUAAUGUCGUUUACGUUCGGAUUACAUUGUUUUUCUAUCCGCGGGCAAAACGACAACAAUAAUAACGCAAUGCAAUACACAUAUAUAUAUAAAUACAUAAUUUAGAAUCGAUUAGUAACGGAGUGAAAUAGAAAUAUAAAUCUCGGAUGAUCCCGGCAAUACUGCGUCGGUCCGAUAAUAAUUCGUUUUCGACACAAUAUAAUACCGUAUACGCG